rnacentral:rRNA from 1 species
GAUGAACGCUGGCGGCGUGCCUAAUACAUGCAAGUCGAGCGAACGGACGAGAAGCUUGCUUCUCUGAUGUUAGCGGCGGACGGGUGAGUAACACGUGGAUAACCUACCUAUAAGACUGGGAUAACUUCGAGAAACCGGAGCUAAUACCGGAUAAUAUUUUGAACCGCAUGGUUCAAAAGUGAAAGACGGUCUUGCUGUCACUUAUAGAUGGAUCCGCGCUGCAUUAGCUAGUUGGUAAGGUAACGGCUUACCAAGGCAACGAUGCAUAGCCGACCUGAGAGGGUGAUCGGCCACACUGGAACUGAGACACGGUCCAGACUCCUACGGGAGGCAGCAGUAGGGAAUCUUCCGCAAUGGGCGAAAGCCUGACGGAGCAACGCCGCGUGAGUGAUGAAGGUCUUCGGAUCGUAAAACUCUGUUAUUAGGGAAGAACAUAUGUGUAAGUAACUGUGCACAUCUUGACGGUACCUAAUCAGAAAGCCACGGCUAACUACGUGCCAGCAGCCGCGGUAGUACGUAGGUGGCAAGCGUUAUCCGGAAUUAUUGGGCGUAAAGCGCGCGUAGGCGGUUUUUUAAGUCUGAUGUGAAAGCCCACGGCUCAACCGUGGAGGGUCAUUGGAAGCUGGAAAACUUGAGUGCAGAAGAGGAAAGUGGAAUUCCAUGUGUAGCGGUGAAAUGCGCAGAGAUAUGGAGGAACACCAGUGGCGAAGGCGACUUUCUGGUCUGUAACUGACGCUGAUGUGCGAAAGCGUGGGGAUCAAACAGGAUUAGAUACCCUGGUAGUCCACGCCGUAAACGAUGAGUGCUAAGUGUUAGGGGGUUUCCGCCCCUUAGUGCUGCAGCUAACGCAUUAAGCACUCCGCCUGGGGAGUACGACCGCAAGGUUGAAACUCAAAGGAAUUGACGGGGACCCGCACAAGCGGUGGAGCAUGUGGUUUAAUUCGAAGCAACGCGAAGAACCUUACCAAAUCUUGACAUCCUUUGACAACUCUAGAGAUAGAGCUUUCCCCUUCGGGGGACAAAGUGACAGGUGGUGCAUGGUUGUCGUCAGCUCGUGUCGUGAGAUGUUGGGUUAAGUCCCGCAACGAGCGCAACCCUUAAGCUUAGUUGCCAUCAUUAAGUUGGGCACUCUAAGUUGACUGCCGGUGACAAACCGGAGGAAGGUGGGGAUGACGUCAAAUCAUCAUGCCCCUUAUGAUUUGGGCUACACACGUGCUACAAUGGACAAUACAAAGGGCAGCGAAACCGUGAGGUCAAGCAAAUCCCAUAAAGUUGUUCUCAGUUCGGAUUGUAGUCUGCAACUCGACUACAUGAAGCUGGAAUCGCUAGUAAUCGUAGAUCAGCAUGCUACGGUGAAUACGUUCCCGGGUCU